rnacentral:rRNA from 1 species
GUGGGGAAUUUUGGACAAUGGGCGAAAGCCUGAUCCAGCCAUGCCGCGUGCAGGAUGAAGGCCUUCGGGUUGUAAACUGCUUUUGUACGGAACGAAAAGACUCUGGUUAAUACCUGGGGUCCAUGACGGUACCGUAAGAUUAAGCACCGGCUAACUACGUGCCAGCAGCCGCGGUAAUACGUAGGGUGCAAGCGUUAAUCGGAAUUACUGGGCGUAAAGCGUGCGCAGGCGGUUAUAUAAGACAGAUGUGAAAUCCCCGGGCUCAACCUGGGAACUGCAUUUGUGACUGUAUAGCUAGAGUACGGCAGAGGGGGAUGGAAUUCCGCGUGUAGCAGUGAAAUGCGUAGAUAUGCGGAGGAACACCGAUGGCGAAGGCAAUCCCCUGGGCCUGUACUGACGCUCAUGCACGAAAGCGUGGGGAGCAAACAGGAGUAGAUACCCGGGUAGUCC